rnacentral:lncRNA from 1 species
AUUAAGUUCCCUCUGUAUGCAGAAUAUUGUGCAACAUGGUUAUGGGUACUACAGUGGAUGUGAGUGUGUAGACCUUGUACAAUAGAGCUUAUAGGCUAAUGAGAAGACAGGAAGAAACAACAGGAACACAUAUAGCUGGAAUGCAGAUGGGAUCUGUGCUACUUACGCUAGCCAUGGGAUGAUUAGAACAAGAUAAGAGACAUGAGGAAGACUUCUUCAAGGAGGUGCUCAAGCCAUGUUUUGGAAAAGAGAACUCAAGGUCUGGCAGGGAGAAAGGAGCAAGAGUAGACUUUGAGUCUUUGCUUCAGAUGCAGAUCAAGAUGUGGCAACCUGUUGUGGAGAACUGGGUCCCUUGAGCCUGUGCUGUCUCUUUUUUUCUGGUGGCUUUGUCAUUUGGAACAAUGCAUAAUGGGCUGGAGGCUGAGAAACUCUGAGCUGAGGGCAAGUAGAGCUGCAGCUGUCUGGCGCCACUGUAAUGCUGUCUCCUCCUCUGAGUGAGUUCAUCCUGGAAACAUUUUCUCCCAUAAGACAUGCACAGGUCUUACGUUUACAUGUUUCACUGAAAGAAAUUUGAUUCCACUGCUGGGAUGACAAGGAAGACUGAAGAAACCUAAUCCUAGGUGCUGCCACUGGGACAAACAAGAAGCACCAGACACAGUGCUGUUUUAGGGUGGGGCAGAAUUAUGCUGAGGGAAAAGUUAUUAUCACUCUUUAAGGCCAAGGAAACCACAAUUUUUAAAGAAGCUUCUAGAAAUUCUACCCAGUAGAAAAUAAAGAUAAACUUCUGUAAGGAAUUUCAUUCUUUUCAGAAUUCGCAAUCUGAAAUGUAGAAGCCCAUUCCUUCAUGGUUCUCAUAGAUAUUUAGUGUGACUGAGGGGUCAGUGGACUCAUAGCACUCAGGCCAGGCUUCUCCUGAGUCCCUUUCUUUGGCACAGAGGGAGUGAUUCACAGAUCCUCUACCCCCAAAGGCAUUGUUUCCUCAUCUCAACAAGAAUCCAGCACCCGUCAUUUUAUCAGCACACGUCACUAGCUUCUCAAGUGAGACUACUCUGAAGUGAUCUGUGUUUGAAGAAUGCCUUUCCCUUUCCCUUACGUAACUAAGAGGAUGAAAAAGGACACUCACUCCCUAUAUGAAAGCUGUGUAUUGUAAGCAGUCAUCUUGCCUGGCUGAGAACUCUAGGAUCUUUUUCUCUGCUCUCCUUUAGGCUGACACUCAUAGCCAGACCUUCUGUUUAUUAGCCCCCUGAAUCUAUUUGAAAAUAUUUUUGCUUUCAUUAUAAUAUAAGUCACAUUCUUCUUGCAUCUGCCGCUGCAUUUUCCAAAAGGGUUAUGUCAAGGGAAAUUCAACACUCACUUUUCUCAUUAUUUGCUUACCAGCUUGCUCACUCAUCAAAAUACCAGAGUUAUUUGAUACUUCAGAAGAUUAUUUCCCCCUUUAGAUGAUGUGUCAAGGGAAGGGGAGCUGGCCCCAGUAUCAGGUGACAGAAUUUUCUUCGCAUUUCUACUGUUGACUCAAUAAAUGCCCUUGGGCAAGUCAU